rnacentral:rRNA from 1 species
UGGGGAAUAUUGCACAAUGGGCGCAAGCCUGAUGCAGCCAUGCCGCGUGUAUGAAGAAGGCCUUCGGGUUGUAAAGUACUUUCAGUCGGGAGGAAGGUGGUAAGGUUAAUAACCUUAUCAAUUGACGUUACCGACAGAAGAAGCACCGGCUAACUCCGUGCCAGCAGCCGCGGUAAUACGGAGGGUGCAAGCGUUAAUCGGAAUUACUGGGCGUAAAGCGCACGCAGGCGGUUGAUUGAGUCAGAUGUGAAAUCCCCGGGCUUAAACCGGGAAUUGCAUCUGAUACUGGUCAGCUAGAGUCUUGUAGAGGGGGGUAGAAUUCCAUGUGUAGCGGUGAAAUGCGUAGAGAUGUGGAGGAAUACCGGUGGCGAAGGCGGCCCCCUGGACAAAGACUGACGCUCAGGUGCGAAAGCGUGGGGAGCAAACAGG